UGCCCCUGCACGUACAUAAGACUCCUAUCACCCGCCUGGUGAGGAGUGGGCUUAACGUUUAGUGCGCUAAGCAGCUUCAGACAUCCCAUGGAAGCUUCGUUGCCAUGCUCCUGUUGCUCCAACAUGGCGCUCAUGGCUUUCCGCUGUGGGCAGUCCCUCGCCCAGUGAGGUCCCUGACAUAGGAAGCAACCCUCCCUUGGUUUGGCCUCCUUUUUGU
rnacentral:lncRNA from 1 species